rnacentral:rRNA from 1 species
UCCAGAGGGUGCGAUCGUUAAUCGGAAUUACUGGGCGUAAAGCGCACGUAGGCGGCUUGGUAUGUCGGGUGUGAAAUCCCCGGGCUCAACCUGGGAACUGCAACCGAAACUGCCUUGCUCGAGUAUGGGAGAGGGAAGCGGAAUUUCCGGUGUAGCGGUGAAAUGCGUAGAUAUCGGAAGGAACAUCAGUGGCGAAGGCGGCUGCCUGGACCAAUACUGACGCUCAGGUGCGAAAGCGUGGGGAGCAAACAGG